UACGUAGGGGGCGAGCGUUGUCCGGAUUCAUCGGGCGUAAAGAGCUCGUAGGCGGUUCGGCAAGUCGGGUGUGAAAACUCCAGGCUCAACCUGGAGACGCCACCCGAUACUGCCAUGGCUUGAGUCCGGUAGGGGACCACGGAAUUCCUGGUGUAGCGGUGAAAUGCGCAGAUAUCAGGAGGAACACCGGUGGCGAAGGCGGUGGUCUGGGCCGGUACUGACGCUGAGGAGCGAAAGCGUGGGGAGCGAACAGG
rnacentral:rRNA from 1 species